GUAGCAAUACUCGGACCGGCAAACGGGUGCGGAACACGUACGCAACUUACCNNNAACAGGUGAAUAGCCUUCUGAAAAGGAGAUUAAUACACCGUAAAAUGCAGGGAUGGCAUCAUCCUUGCAUAAUAGCUCAGGCGGUUUGGGAUGGGCGUGCGUCUGAUUAGGUAGUUGGUGGGGUAAUGGCUCACCAAGCCAACGAUCAGUAACUGGUGUGAGAGCACGACCAGUCACACGGGCACUGAGACACGGGCCCGACUCCUACGGGAGGCAGCAGUGAGGAAUAUUGGUCAAUGGACGCAAGUCUGAACCAGCCAUGCCGCGUGAAGGAUGAAGGCGUUCUGCGUUGUAAACUUCUUUUAUCUGGGAAGAAACCUCAGUUUUCUAAUUGAGCCGACGGUACCAGAGGAAUAAGCACCGGCUAACUCCGUGCCAGCAGCCGCG
rnacentral:rRNA from 1 species